rnacentral:piRNA from 1 species
GAAGGAGCUCAGGUGAGACACCAUC